rnacentral:rRNA from 1 species
GUAGGGGGCAAGCGUUGUUCGGAAUUACUGGGCGUAAAGGGCGCGUAGGCGGCACAGCAAGUCGGGAGUGAAAGCCCGGGGCUCAACCCCGGAAUGGCUUUCGAAACUGCUGAGCUAGAGUACAGAAGGGGCAACCGGAAUUCCCAGUGUAGCGGUGAAAUGCGUAGAUAUUGGGAAGAACACCUGAGGCGAAGGCGGGUUGCUGGGCUGAUACUGACGCUGAGGCGCGAAAGCCAGGGGAGCAAACGGGAUUAGAUACCCCGGUAGUCCUGGCCCUAAACGAUGGAUACUUGGUGUAUGGGGUUCUCAAAGUCCCCGUGUGCCGGAGCUAACGCGGUAAGUAUCCCGCCUGGGGAGUACGGUCGCAAGGCUG